rnacentral:rRNA from 1 species
UACGGGGGGGGCAAGCGUUGUUCGGAAUUACUGGGCGUAAAGGGCUCGUAGGCGGCCAACUAAGUCAGAUGUGAAAUCCCUCGGCUCAACCGGGGAACUGCGUCUGAUACUGGAUGGCUCGAGUUUGGGAGAGGGAUGCGGAAUUCCAGGUGUAGCGGUGAAAUGCGUAGAUAUCUGGAGGAACACCGGUGGCGAAGGCGGCAUCCUGGACCAACACUGACGCUGAGGAGCGAAAGCCAGGGGAGCAAACGGG